UCUCAGCCACAUGAUUCAUUCAAAUUUUUUUAAUCUUAAGCGUUGGUUUUGAUUACCACGCGUGUGGCGCGCUGACUAGGUUCCAUCAUUGAACGCGUGUUUCUGAGGUGUGUUGGCACGUCUCUCAGCCACAUGAUUCAUUCAAAUUUUUUUAAUCUUAAGCGUUGGUUUUGAUUACCACGCGUGUGGCGCGCUGACUAGGUUCCAUCAUUGAACGCGUGUUUCUGUCCACUUGAUCUGCCACCUCAAUUAAUGAGGGAGAUCAAGUGGCUCACGUUUUU
rnacentral:lncRNA from 1 species